rnacentral:rRNA from 1 species
AGGGUUUGAUCCUGGCUCAGAGUGAACGCUGGCGGCGUGGAUUAGGCAUGCAAGUCGAGCGAUCGUUUUUAAGCUUGAAGUCAAAGCUUCGGCCGAGAUUGAUAGUUUUUUAAUGAUAGCGGCAAACCGGUGAGUAACGCGUGGGUAACCUACCUUGAGGAGGAGAACAGCUCCGCGAAAGCGGGGGUAAUGCUCCAUAUCGUCCCAGUCUCUAAGGAUUGGGAUAAAAGAUGGCCUCUAUUUAUAAGCUAUCACCAUAAGAGGGGCCCGCGUCCUAUCAGGUAGUUGGUAAGGUAAUGGCUUACCAAGCCAUAGACGGGUAGCUGGCGUAAGUGCGUGACCAGCCACAUCGGGACUGAGACACUGCCCGGACUCCUACGGGAGGCUGCAGUCGAGAAUCUUUCACAAUGGACGAAAGUCUGAUGAUGCGACGCCGCGUGGGGGAUGAAGGUUUUCGGAUUGUAAACCCAUUCUAUUGAGGAGGAACAUUCCAGGGUGAAUAACCCUGUAAUUUGACUGUACUCAAUGAAUAAGCCACGGCUAAAUCCGUGCCAGCAGCCGCGGUAAUACGGAUGUGGCAAGCGUUACUCGGUUUGAUUGGGUGUAAAGGGUCCGCAGGCGGCUAUGUGUGUGGAAGGUGAAAUCUUUCGGCUUAACCGGAAAACUGCCUUUCAAACUGCAUAGCUUGAGGAUGGAAGGGGAGAGUGGAACUGCCGGUGUAAAGGUGAAAUUUGUGGAGAUCGGUAGGAACGCCCGUGGAGAAGUCGGCUCUCUGGUCCAUUCCUGACGCUGAGGGACGAAAGCUAGGGUAGCGAACAGGAUUAGAUACCCUGGUAGUCCUAGCUGUAAACGAUGGGCACUAGGUGUCCGUUCGCAAGAAUGGGUGCCGCAGCUAACGCAUUAAGUGCCCCACCUGGGGACUACGGCCGCAAGGCUAAAACUCAAAGGAAUUGACGGGGGCCCGCACAAGCGGUGGAACACGUGGUUUAAUUCGAUGCUACGCGAGAAACCUUACCAGGGUUUGACAUGCUGGAAGUAAUCGCCUGAAAGGGUGGAUGACCUGUAACCAAUCAGGUACCAGCACAGGUGCUGCAUGGCUGUCGUCAGCUCGUGCCGUGAGGUGUUCCCUUAAGUGGGAGAACGAGCGCAACCCUCGCCUUUAGUUGCUACUUCUUCGGUUUACCGGAGAAGGCACUCUAAAGGGACUGCCCGCGUUAAGUGGGAGGAAGGUGAGGACGGCGUCAAGUCCGCAUGGCCCUUAUGUCCUGGGCGACACACGUGUUACAAUGCUUACUACAAAGGGAUGCCAACCCGCGAGGGGGAGCAAAUCUCAAAAAAGUAGGCUCAGUUCGGAUUGCAGGCUGCAAUUCGCCUGCAUGAAGCUGGAAUCGCUAGUAAUGGCGCAUCAGCACGGCGCCGUGAAUACGUUCCCGGGCCUUGUACACACCGCCCGUCAAGCGCUGAAAGUGGGGGGCGCCCGAAGUCCCAUGUAUGUGGGAACACGGUGAACUUCAUGAUUGGCGCUAAGUCGUAACAAGGUA